CUACGGGACGCUGCAGUAAGGAAUAUUGCGCAAUGGAGGCAACUCUGACGCAGCCAUGCCGCGUGCAGGAAGAAGGCCUUAUGGGUCGUAAACUGCUUUUAUUUAGGAAUAAACCCUCGCUCGUGAGCGAGGCUGAAGGUACUGAAUGAAUAAGCACCGGCUAACUCCGUGCCAGCAGCCGCGGUAAUACGGAGGGUGCAAGCGUUAUCCGGAUUUAUUGGGUUUAAAGGGUGCACAGGCGGGCUAUUAAGUCAGUGGUGAAAUCCCGGGGCUCAACUCCGGAACUGCCAUUGAUACUGAUAGUCUUGAGUGUGGUUGAAGUGGGCGGAAUGUAGCAUGUAGCGGUGAAAUGCAUAGAUAUGCUACAGAACACCAAUCGCGAAGGCAGCUCACUAAGCCAAAACUGACGCUCAUGCACGAAAGCGUGGGGAUCAAACAGGAUUAGAUACCCCAGUAGUC
rnacentral:rRNA from 1 species